rnacentral:lncRNA from 1 species
UUCCUUCAAAUUAGCAGAAAAAUAGUUGAAUUAAAUAAUAAUAUUAAUAAAAAAAAUGUUUAACCCUAAAGAGUGUAUAUAUUACUCGGAUUCGUAUAGAAAGAAAGUAAAUAAACAGAUGGUCGGAAACUGAGAUUCCGGUACGUCAAAGACGAAAAAUGAGUGCAGGUGUAGUACCACUAAUUCAGGACUACAAAAAAAGUCCACAAAACUGUUGAAUGUACAAUUUCUUAAAGCGAGUUGCCAAAAUUGAAAAUCGUGGUUGACGACUAUGUGGGGGUGACGUUUUGGGAUUUUCU